AACGAACGCUGGCGGCAUGCCUAACACAUGCAAGUCGAACGCGACCUUCGGGUCUAGUGGCUCACGGGUGCGUAACGCGUGGGAACCUGCCUUUAGGUUCGGAAUAACUCCCCGAAAGGGGUGCUAAUACCGGAUAAUGUUUCCGGACCAAAGAUUUAUCGCCUUUGGAUGGGCCUGCGUUGGAUUAGCUAGUUGGUAGGGUAAAAGCCUACCAAGGCGACGAUCCAUAGCUGGUCUGAGAGGAUGAUCAGCCACACUGGGACUGAGACACGGCCCAGACUCCUACGGAAGGCAGCAGUGGGGAAUAUUGGACAAUGGGCGAAAGCCUGAUCCAGCAAUGCCGCGUAAGUGAUGAAGGCCUUAGGAUUGUAAAGCUAUUUUACCCGGGAUGAUAAUGACAGUACCGGGAGAAUAAGCUCCGGCUAACUCCGUG
rnacentral:rRNA from 1 species